rnacentral:ncRNA from 1 species
UUAAAUUCAAUGAAGGGAAGAGUAAGAUAUACAAUUGUUAAAGCGAGUCGGGAAUGGUGUAAGCCUGAUACACGUGUGUAUCUGAAAAGAGACCUAGAGAAGCUAUCUGAAAGUAAAAAGUAAGACUUGACGUAUUCCUACGUUACAGGAUAGAGUGGAUAUACAUAUAUGCUAUGUAUAUCAAUUAGAGUGGCAACACGGGAAAUUUAUCUCGUCUCUUUC